AACGCUAGCUACAGGCUUAACACAUGCAAGUCGAGGGGCAGCAUUUUAGUUUGCUUGCAAACUAAAGAUGGCGACCGGCGCACGGGUGAGUAACACGUAUCCAACCUGCCGAUAACUCGGGGAUAGCCUUUCGAAAGAAAGAUUAAUAUCCGAUAGUAUAUUAAAACCGCAUGGUUUUACUAUUAAAGAAUUUCGGUUAUCGAUGGGGAUGCGUUCCAUUAGUUUGUUGGCGGGGUAACGGCCCACCAAGACUACGAUGGAUAGGGGUUCUGAGAGGAAGGUCCCCCACAUUGGAACUGAGACACGGUCCAAACUCCUACGGGAGGCAGCAGUGAGGAAUAUUGGUCAAUGGACGAGAGUCUGAACCAGCCAAGUAGCGUGAAGGAUGACUGCCCUAUGGGUUUUAAACUUCUUUUAUAUGGGAAUAAAGUAUUCCACGUGUGGAAUUUUGUAUGUACCAUAUGAAUAAGGAUCGGCUAACUCCGUGCCAGCAGCCGCGGUAAUACGGAGGAUCCGAGCGUUAUCCGGAUUUAUUGGGUUUAAAGGGAGCGUAGGUGGAUUGUUAAGUCAGUUGUGAAAGUUUGCGGCUCAACCGUAAAAUUGCAGUUGAAACUGGCAGUCUUGAGUACAGUAGAGGUGGGCGGAAUUCGUGGUGUAGCGGUGAAAUGCUUAGAUAUCACGAAGAACUCCGAUUGCGAAGGCAGCUCACUAGACUGCAACUGACACUGAUGCUCGAAAGUGUGGGUAUCAAACAGGAUUAGAUACCCUGGUAGUCCACACAGUAAACGAUGAAUACUCGCUGUUUGCGAUAUACAGUAAGCGGCCAAGCGAAAGCAUUAAGUAUUCCACCUGGGGAGUACGCCGGCAACGGUGAAACUCAAAGGAAUUGACGGGGGCCCGCACAAGCGGAGGAACAUGUGGUUUAAUUCGAUGAUACGCGAGGAACCUUACCCGGGCUUAAAUUGCAUUUGAAUAAUCUGGAAACAGGUUAGCCGCAAGGCAAAUGUGAAGGUGCUGCAUGGUUGUCGUCAGCUCGUGCCGUGAGGUGUCGGCUUAAGUGCCAUAACGAGCGCAACCCUUAUCUUUAGUUACUAACAGGUCAUGCUGAGGACUCUAGAGAGACUGCCGUCGUAAGAUGUGAGGAAGGUGGGGAUGACGUCAAAUCAGCACGGCCCUUACGUCCGGGGCUACACACGUGUUACAAUGGGGGGUACAGAAGGCAGCUACCUGGCGACAGGAUGCUAAUCCCAAAAACCUCUCUCAGUUCGGAUCGAAGUCUGCAACCCGACUUCGUGAAGCUGGAUUCGCUAGUAAUCGCGCAUCAGUCAUGGCGCGGUGAAUACGUUCCCGGGCCUUGUACACACCGCCCGUCAAGCCAUGAAAGCCGGGGGUACCUGAAGUACGUAACCGCAAGGAGCGUCCUAGGGUAAAACUGGUAAUUGGGG
rnacentral:rRNA from 1 species